GGAAGGCGAUUAUCGCCAUGCACUCUUAGAAGAACCAUGGCAAAUGGCAAAUCAUUACUUACUGGUCCAAAGGUAGAGGCCCCUCUUCGUACCCUUUACACAAUCAGUUCAAAGACUGGCAGUGUGGAUCAGAAUUUCAGGCUUUCCAGUGGAGCUCUAUACUGAACAAUUUCUAUGGAGGGCCGUAAGCAAGAUUGGGACGAUGCUAAAAAUCGACCAAAAUACCUCUAUACGCUCUAGAGGCAAGUUCGCUUGGUUGUGCGUAGAGGUAGACCUGCAAAGGCAGUUAGUUCUAGCAAUUCAAGUCCUUGGAAGGGAAUUCAAAAUAGAGUAUGAAGGUCUGCAUAUGAUCUAUUUUGGCUGUGGAAAAUACGGCCAUCGCCAAGAACUAUGCCCGGACAAGAGAGAUGAAAAUGUAGUGAUGCCUGUGGUGGCUACCACCACAGAAACAAACUCGACAACCCUGAUGGAUAAGGAAGGAUUUGAUUUGGCAGGGAUACCACAAACAGAAUCUUUUCAAACUCAAUCAGGUGCAAUAAAUGCAGAAUCAAAUCCCUUGAUUUCGAGGCAAACGAAUGGCGAAGGAAAAUGGAAUGAUGGCACUGUUUUUGGGCCUUGGAUGAUAGCCAAGAAAUCUUAGCAACAUACCACUCGCAGCUAUCCCAAAUUGGGUCCUGGGCCCAACAAAAGUUUACAAGUGGGACAGGUUCCAGGUAUGAGGUGCUCGAACAAGAAGAUCCCCAAAUCCAAGGCCCUAAUAUUCAUAGCACAAAUGAACCAACACCUUUAUCAAAUGCCCAAACCUUUUAUUUGAAGAACAAAAAAAAGGUUCUUCCAAAAGUCUCAGGAGCUAACCCGAAUCAAGGAAAGGGGCACCAGACGAGUACUAAUUCAAAUUAGGGAGCAUCCCACUCAACUAAAAAAGUUACUAUGCAACCUUCGUCUAAAGGUAAGGAGGUUAUGGAGUCACGCAACAAAACAACAAUGAAGAACAAACAAGAUUACUACUGGCUCUCCCUUGAACUCAUAAAACAAAUAAGUAAUAUGUUUGAUGGUGUAUUUCCUCACUCGGUGGUAGUACCGUCUUCACAAAUAUAUUACCCAACUAAGGAAAAGGUAGAUAUGGCUAAUCGGAUUCAUCGGAAUGUCGUGAAGGCAAUUUUGGCGACGGAUCCACCUGACCCUGGAGCAGGCAUGACCACAAUUAGCAACAAAACCGAGUUGAUUUUCUCCAAUAAUAGGGAUGAUGCAGUGAACAUGGUGGUGGACCAAAACCUUUCUGGGGUUCAUACUUGAUCAAUGUGUAGGUAGUAAGGGAUUCCUUGGUCUGAUUAGGGAGCUUUGUAAAAGACUUCACUCCAACUUUCUUUCUCUGCUAGAAACCCACAUAACUGGUAAAAAGGCUACUUUGAUUGCAAAAACUCUUGGUUUCUCUGAUUGGUACUUAAUGGAAGGUGUUGGUUUUUCUGAGGGUAUAUGGUGUUUAUGGAACUCCUCUCUUUGGCAUGUAGAAGUCAUCAAAGCUCGUAGACAAUUUGUUCAUCUUAAAGUUGCCACAGGAAUAGAAUGUCAUUAGUUCUUAACUAUGGUUUAUAGCUCUCCCCAGUACAAUUCUAUAUCAGAACUCUAGAAUGGUCUGCAAAGACUGGUAGGACAGGUUACAGGAGAGUGGUGUGUUGGAGGAAACUUCAAUUGCACAUUAUCAUCAGUGGAUGCUGGUAACAACUCGAGUAUUUCUUAAGACUCUCAUCACUUUGUAAACAGUCUUUUAGAUUGUGGACUACACAACUUAGGUUACCAAGGCCAGCCUUUCACCUGGCAGUGAGGUAGAACCUGUUGAAGGUUGGACAGAUAUGUUGGUAGUGAUUUGUAGUUUCAACGAUUCAGUCAUGCACUGGUCAAGCACCUUCCCAAGCUUAAGUCUGAUCAUGUGCCAAUUCUGCUCAUUCUAGACACUAGUAAUGGAGUUGGUUCAUUAAUAAACCACAAAUUUAUGGUUUAUUUUGUAUUGAAAUGAGUGAAUUUUAUCAACUUAUUCCACAUUUAUUCAUUGAAA